GACGCACGCUGGCGGCGUGCUUAACACAUGCAAGUCGAACGGACUACUUUGCUUCGGUAAGGUGGUUAGUGGCGAACGGGUGAGUAACGCGUAGACAACCUACCUCUUAGAUGGGGACAACAUCGCGAAAGCGGUGCUAAUACCGAAUGAAGUGACUUUCCUGCAUGGGAGAGAUACUAAAGGUGGCCUCUAUUUAUAAGCUACCACUGAGAGAUGGGUCUGCGUCUGAUUAGCUGGUUGGCGGGGUAACGGCCCACCAAGGCGAUGAUCAGUAGCAGGUCUGAGAGGAUGAACGGCAACAUUGGGACUGAGACAAGGCCCAAACUCCUACGGGAGGCAGCAGUGGGGAAUCUUCCGCAAUGGACGAAAGUCUGACGGAGCAACGCCGGGUGAGUGAAGAAGGUUUUCGGAUCGUAAAGCUCUGUUGUUUGAGACGAAUGUGCCUGUUUCGAAUAGGGAUAGGUAAUGACGGUAUUAAACGAGAAAGCCACGGCUAACUACGUGCCAGCCGCCGCGGUAA
rnacentral:rRNA from 1 species